AGUCGAUGGGCGAGCCUGACGGAGCAUACCGCGUGAGGGAAGACUGCCUAUGGGUUGUAAACCUCUUUUUUCAGGGAGGAAUAAAAUGACGUGUACCUGAAGAAUAAGCAUCGGCUAACUCCGUGCCAGCAGCCGCGGUAAGACGGAGGAUGCAAGUGUUAUCCGGAAUCACUGGGCGUAAAGCGUCUGUAGGUGGUUUAAUAAGUCAACUGUUAAAUCUUGAGGCUCAACUUCAAAACCGCAGUCGAAACUAUUAGACUAGAGUAUAGUAGAGGUAAAGGGAAUUUCCAGUGGAGCGGUGAAAUGCGUAGAGAUUGGAAAGAACACCGAUGGCGAAAGCACUUUACUGGGCUAUUACUAACACUCAGAGACGAAAGCUAGGGUAGCAAAUGGGAUUAGAUACCCCAGUAGUCCUAGCCGUAAACAAUGGAUACUAGAUGUUGAACAGAUCGACCUGUGCAGUAUCAAAGCUAACGCGUUAAGUAUCCCGCCUGGGAAGUAUGCUCGCAAGAGUGAAACUCAAAGGAAAUUGACGGAUU
rnacentral:rRNA from 1 species